rnacentral:rRNA from 1 species
AUGGACAUCAUCUUCACCAUCUUGGCAUCCAUCUCCGCGGCGUGCUCCGACAGGAAGAACCUUCCCAAGGCCCUCAUCUCCGGCGGGAUCUUCAAGGCCGCUGCGGCGCUGUGUCUCGUCUUCUUCCAGGGGCCGGGAGGCGUGUUCCUCCAUCACGGGAAGGCCCCCUACUACCUCUACUACGGCAUCCUCGUCACCAUUGCCAUCUUUGGGCUCGUGGAGGCGUCCGUGGGAUGCUGGGUUUCCGGGAGGCUGGAUGAUCGGCACGCCGCCGGGAAGGCGGUCCUCUGCGUGUCCUUCCUUCCUUUGAUCUGCGUGGCUGCCUUCGGGGGAUUCGUAGUCCUGAGGAAGGUGAACUAG